CGAACGGGUGAGUAACACGUGGGUAAUCUGCCCUCGGUUCCGGGAUAGCCCGGGGAAACUCGGAUUAAUACCGGAUAGCCUCACGAACCUUCGGGGAGUGAGAAAAGGUAGCUUUGGCCUCUGACCGAGGAUGAGCCCGCGGUGGAUUAGCUUGUUGGCGGGGUAACGGCCCACCAAGGCGACGAUCCAUAGCUGGUCUGAGAGGACGAUCAGCCACACUGGGACUGAGACACGGCCCAG
rnacentral:rRNA from 1 species